rnacentral:lncRNA from 1 species
UGCACCUGCAGAACCAGGCAGACCCGGUCUCCAGGGCACUUGUUGCCUCAAAAGGGAAGGGAGAAAAACAGGCUAAGGACAGAAUGUCUCCUGCAGCCUUCACUGGAGUGAUUAUCAUUAAAAACUCUGCCUCCCCAAACUGUCCCACAACUACAGACACAGAAAGUAGGUGACUGGUAUCAAGGAGCCCGGCAACAAUGGUAAAAUUCCAGCCCCUGCCACAAGGAAGCUCUUGCAAAAUCUGAGCAGGGAGCAGUGGAAGGA